UGCUGGUACAGUCUUGCUACAUGAGGACAAAUUAUCAUUACCUUGAGAACAGAUCCUUAUAAGAAUCUAGGAAAAUUCGAUCAUUUUUCUAAGAAAUUGGGGCAGAGCAAAGAAAGAACCCAGUUGAGAGAAGGCAUCUUCUCAGGGGUGACUAUUUGAAAUGUAUGGAUGGCUUGGUGAUCGUGCUU